rnacentral:lncRNA from 1 species
AAACCGCCCAUACCUCGAGGAAAAGAAAACCCGCGACGAAGAUAUGAAGGAUAAUACAACCGCAUCCGCUCCUACUACGAUAACCAUCCAAGAGAAAAACUUAGCCAACUUUAGAACCUUACGGAAAUUGAACAUUAAAUUCAUCCGCAGCCAGAACCACCUACAAUACCUCGAACACAUCUACCAGGAUUUACCAUUCCCAGAAUUGCGGCGAUCAUACACUUCACCUUUUACUAAUUCAAUGGAAGCAGUACCUCCCUCGGAGCGAAGCCAGUUGAAUUGGUACGGGAUGGCCAAUGGGGUGUUGUCCAAUUUGGAAAUGAACUGACAUUUUAUGAGCCACUUCCAUCAUUUCUACAAUAUUACCACCAGAAACUUAACUUUUAUUCUUGCUACAUUAUGAACACUAUUUUACAUUUUCACUUUCACUUUUAUUCUUUUACGUCAUAAUUAAUACAACCGCAUUUUAUACACUUUAUGAACAUGUAAACUCUGUAAUAUUGUCCUGAUGACGCCGC